UUCAAGUGGAUUGCCAAGUAUCCCCUGGGUUUUUACUGAAAUUUGGAGAAGAACCUUCUGAGGAAUAACUGACCUGACAGAGAAGACUUUAGAGGAGGCUGGAAGACAAGGAGUAUUUUGAAGAUGGAUUCUGAUAGAAAAUCCCUGAAGACAGCUGGCUUAAAAGGUUCAGAAGAACAAGCCCAGUCCUGAUGUGAACACAGCAAUGUUUAGAGCGUGCAGUCAUGCCACACUUGCAAUUGUGGGGCUUCUCCACUGACAUGCUGUGGAAAGGAACAGCACAUCGAGCACUGAUGCAAGAGUCAAAUUGUGCAACUGCCCCACACAGCAAUUCCUCUCUCCCUACUGAUGUGGCUGUGACUGAUCUAUGCAGACCCAUUCCUCUAAGUUCAGCCCUGUCCAUACACAACAGGCAGUGCCUUAACUGUAGCACAAAAGACCCUGUGAAGACAAUUGGGCCAUUGACAGAUUCUUCACAGUCCAAGUGAGGACAGCGCUGCUGUGAACUCUUCUCCUCAUCCACUCCUAUGCCCGCAGAGGAGCUCAGAUGUUCCCUUCCUAACGUGACAGACAAAAUCAGCUGGGUGAGUUCAAACCAGCUGUUUGAACUGGUUGAGCUAAGCUGAUACUUCUGUUUGACACAGAAGAGAGACUGUUGGUGCUGGUGUUGAUUAUUGCCUUUGGCCUGCAGAGAGGAGCCCAAAGAGGGCGUCUCACCAUGGCCCUUCAUUACUGACAGACAUUAAUCCUUUUCAACUAUUCCUGUGAAGGAAUAAAGAUGGACACUUUUUCACCAACAUUAUAUCUUUAAAUGCAGUAUGAUUUUUAAUCCAAAUAAUUUAAACUUGAAAGUUCUCUCACAUUUAUGCACAUCCACCAGCCUUUGAGAUGAGCUAACCAAUAGAAAUCACAAAAUCUUACUUUAACAGCCUACUUUAUGCUGUAGGCAAUUAGCAUUCACUAUUCUUUUUUAAUUACAACUUCAAAUACAAUUUCUUUCUAUUUUCUUCAGUUUAAGGUAAACUUCUGUAGGGUACAGUCCUGUUCCAUAGAGGUUCACAGCAAAGACUAGUAUUUCACACACAGGGAAGAGGCCAUAGAGUAUUUGUUCACUGUUCUACCUCUUAAAGUCCUCAUAAUAUUAAUUAUUAAUUAUUCACUUUGUGAAAUCUGUGUCACAGAAGUUACAUGCUGUUGCCUUCUAAAUUGGUGUAACCCUGAUAAGGAUCUAAUUUAACUCAGUCUGUUGCUUAAGGUUAUCUGGAUAUUUCGUGUGCUGUGCCAAACCCUGGGUUGUGAGCUCACCUUGCAUGAGACAUACCAAUCCUAUUAAAUAAACCUAGCCUUGCAUCUUAAACCUAUGAUCCAAACCCAUAUUCUUUACCUGCAAAUCCAAGCAACCAAAGUCAGAGAUACAUACUACUCAUUAUUCUGUUUUCUAAAUAUUAUUUAAGAAGAAUCAAGGUUUUCAAAGCUGGACACCAGAAAUGGGUAUUCAGAUUUAUCAUAAUGCAACCAACAUAGAAAAUUAUUUAUUGGAUGUAAGCAAAGGUUUAUGCCAAAGACUUUGGAAAUUGAUUUAGAAGUCCUGCAUGGAAGCAGCUCUGGAAGCAAAUGAAAAACAUUCAGCUUCUCACAGAUCUCCCUUUUUUCCAUUCACUUUCCACCAUCUUCUAAACCACAGUUAGGGAAUUGAGAUCUUAGAAU
ensembl:lncRNA